rnacentral:rRNA from 1 species
AUUGAACGCUGGCGGCAUGCCUUACACAUGCAAGUCGAACGGUAACGGGUCUUCGGAUGCUGACGAGUGGCGAACGGGUGAGUAAUACAUCGGAACGUGCCUAGUAGUGGGGGAUAACUACUCGAAAGAGUGGCUAAUACCGCAUGAGAUCUACGGAUGAAAGCAGGGGAUCGCAAGACCUUGUGCUACUAGAGCGGCCGAUGGCAGAGUAGGGAGUUGGUGGGAUAAAAGCUUACCAAGCCGACGAUCUGUAGCUGGUCUGAGAGGACGAUCAGCCACACUGGGACUGAGACACGGCCCAGACUCCUACGGGAGGCAGCAGUGGGGAAUUUUGGACAAUGGGGGCAACCCUGAUCCAGCCAUGCCGCGUGCGGGAAGAAGGCCUUCGGGUUGUAAACCGCUUUUGGUCGGGAAGAAAGGGCGCCUCCUAAUACGGGGCGUUGUUGACGGUACCGACAGAAUAAGCACCGGCUAACUACGUGCCAGCCGCCGCAGUAAAAC